UACGCUCAGUCCAGGGAGGGGACCCCGAAUG
rnacentral:sRNA from 1 species